rnacentral:rRNA from 1 species
CGGCUGCGUAAGUCCGUCGGGAAAUCCAUCUGCUCAACAGAUGGGCGUCCGGUGGAAACUGCACAGCUUGGGACCGAAAGACCCGAGGGGUACGUCUAGGGUAGGAGUGAAAUCCUGUAAUCCUGGACGGACCGCCGAUGGCGAAAGCACCUCGGGAAGACGGAUCCGACGGUGAGGGACGAAAGCUGGGGUCUCGAACCGGAUUAGAUACCCGGGUAGUCCCAGCCGUAAACGAUGUCUGCUAGGUGUGGCACAGGCUACGAGCCUGUGCUGUGCCGCAGGGAAGCCGAUAAGCAGACCGCCUGGGAA